AAGAUUGAACUGAAGAGUUUGAUCAUGGCUCAGAUUGAACGCUGGCGGCAGGCUUAACACAUGCAAGUCGGGCGGAAACGAUGGGAGCUUGCUCUCAGGCGUCGAGCGGCGGACGGGUGAGUAACGCGUAGGAAUCUGCCUAGUAGUGGGGGAUAGCCCGGGGAAACUCGGAUUAAUACCGCAUACGCCCUACGGGGGAAAGCAGGGGAUCUUCGGAC
rnacentral:rRNA from 1 species